UGUGUUACACUGAUGGUCAUUGCUCCUCAAGUUCUUUGAUGUAUGGAGGUGUUCAGAAAAUAUAAACAGUAACGGUGCCAGAGCUUGAUUCCUCACCACAGGUCAAUACCGUACUAGCUUCUUAUUUUUAAGCAGGACCCAAGUGUGGAGGACCCGUUGCGAUCUCCCACAAUGUCUCCCGCAUCUCCGCUCUCCCAACAGUGCUGUCAGAGCCUAAUCUUUUCAGUUGCAGCUGUCCAAAUUAAAAUUCUCUUCCAACCAUCAGACAUUCACUAUCUCCGCUCUUCGAUCGCAACUGAUAUAGACACAGUAGUAGCUAUCUAACAUUGGGAUAGACGGAGGCAAUCACAACCCUGCCGAUGAUACACCAGGAGCUACAUGUGUUUUCUGGAAGAGUUCUGAGGGAAUGAAGCUCACUGGUAGCUACUGGCCUUGCUCAUGAAACACAUCAGCUCGCAAGUCAAAAUGACUUGAACUUCUCAAGUUUCAGAUAUUACGACCCUAUUUACUAGCAAGUCUUGAGAUCACCUACUAUGUUUUCAAAUUAUGCGCACAAUAAAUUCGUACUUUGCACUUAUCCAAAACUUUUUGAUUUGCUUAUUUGCUACUUUUGGUCAAUUUAUUAACAGAAAACAACAAUGUCCUACAAACUAAAUGAAAGGAUGAUGUUUUCUCCAUCCAAGUCACCGUAUGGUCCGAGAAGAGACGAAAAAAACACAGUAGUAGCUAUCUAAAAUCCAACCACAAAUUUACAUUGGAAGUCCAUGCAAAUGUACGCACUCAUCUUAUAUACACGAUAGGUUUGUUCUUUACAUAUUUCCAUCUUAACCAACUUCACAAUGUUACUAACAGAGAGUUUAAAUUCUAACAUUUCCUAUAGAUAAAAAAGCAAAAGAGGCAAGUGCAUGCUAUUCAGAGAAAAACAUAUUUUACUUCCCUCUAAGGCAUUUUUUGAGAAUUCACUGAAUGAACAAUAAUUUCCAUUGUUUAAUUAUUUGUAAAAAUAUAAAUCAACAAUAACAUUUUUUAGCAGCGGCAGUGAAUUAUCUCUAACAUUACAAUUCUAGAAAAAAAAAACAAUUAGGAAUCUACGAAGCCAAAAUAUGAAAAGAUAUCAUAGUAAAACAUAACUCAUAAUGUGAAAGUGAACUUACCAUUAAUCAUAAAAUAAACAAAAAUGCAAAUAUAUCUGAAUUAAGCAACACAAAAUAAUAGAAUGGGAAAUAACAUGUCACUAUACUAAACAUAAAUAGAUAGGUCUAAAGUUCGCAAAAUCACGUGUACUCCCCAAACCUUCCGUUUCACACUUGGCUCAUGUUUUCAUAUUUGAAACUAUAUUUUCAAUUGUCUGGGUACUAAUUUGACAUCCAGUCAAUGAAUUCGUGAAACGGCACAUUGCCUUACUCCUAA